rnacentral:lncRNA from 1 species
GGGGGAGGAGGAAGCAAGACUUAAGCAGAGAAGGCAAGCUCCUUUCUGUUCAUCUAACUCAAAGCCAUUCCUGCUUACCCAAGGAAGAUGAGUGAACAGUCAGCACUCAGUUUAUAAUACGAGCAUGAUGAACUGAUACAACUCCAGCCAAAAAUGGUGACCCAAGUGACCACCUGGUAAUUACUUCAACAGCAGAGCGACUCAUACAGCCAGCAAUCCACUUUGUUGUGAUCUGUAGAUCCUGCCUGUGGUGUUGGAUCUAACAGCUUCUUCCCUGACCCAAGAUUAUGAAGGAUUUCUCCUGUGUUCUCUUCUAAAAAUUUUACAUUUAGGUAUAUAAUCCAUUUUGAGCUAAUUCUUUUAAAUAGUGCAAAGUAUGGAUUGAAGUUCUUUUUUUUUUUUUUGCAGAUACAUAUUUAAUUUUUCCAGCACCAUUUGUUGAAAAGACUAAUGUUCUUGCCUGAAUAGCCUUUGCAUUGUUGUUGAAAAUCAUGUUCACACAUGUACACAUUCCACUGAACUAUUUGCCUCUUUGUGAAAAUACUACUAUUUUGAUUAAUAUAGAUUUAUAGGGAGUCUUAAAAUCAUAUCUUAAAAAGAUAGUGGAAGUUAUUUAACCUUACUCUUGUUUUUAGAAAUUGUUUUGGAUAAUCUAGAUCUUUUGCGUUUCCAUAUAAAUUUUAUAAUCAGUUUGGCAAUUUAUUUAAAAUAUUCUUCUGGGAUUUUGAUGGACAUUAUGCUGAAUCGAUGGAUCGCUUUGGGGAGAACUGACAUCUUAACAAUAUUGAGUCAUCUAACAUAUGAUCAUGGAAAUUGCUCCAGUUAUUUAGAUCUUUCACAUCUUGAAGCAGUGUUUUACAGUUUUCAGUGUAUAGAUAGUUAAUAGAUUUAAAAAUAUGAUCCCUAAAUAUUCAAUGUUUUUGAUGCUAUUGGAAUUUUAAAAAAUUAAUUUCUGUUCUGAGGAAGGAAAAUAAUAAAAGAUUAAACAAGAAAAAUAAAAGAAUCAAAAUAAAAGAUAAAUCAUUGACAAAUAUAAAAAA